UUUUAUUUUUCCUAGUUCAUAGCACAACUUUGCAGCAAACAAAACCUGAAGCACACAGUGUGGGCUUCCAAAAGAGGCCAUGCUUUUGUGAGGAUGGGCUUGGACGUGAGGAGCACAGCUGAGAAAAGAGCAGGAAGGGAACAGCCCUGGGGAGCUUCAGUGCUGGGACAGAAAUGGUUUGGUGCUUGUACAGACAAGUGCUCACCAAAUCCUGCACAUCAUUAAUAAUAAUAAUCAUCAUCUCUCUCAUCCAGUGGGAAAUGCAUUUUCCCCAGGGAGAAGCUGUGCUAAAUAAAGGUUUGUCCUUCCCAGGGAGCAGCAGAGGUGGGAGGUGGACAUUUGGGCUCCCAUCUCUUUCCCCAAGGAAGGUCAUUAAGCAUACAGAAUACAUAUGUUUUCCCUUCAGCAGCUGUUGGGUUUCUCAGCCCAAGAGCCAUAACAGGACCAUGAGGUUUGGAAAAUUUCUGCCUCCCACAUCUGCCCCUCCUCCUCACCAGCAGUGCUGCUGAAUCAGCAAAAUGGGAUUGUGCAGCUGUGCCUCGUUAGGCCAGUGCUGAUAAUUAAAUAUUGGCAAAAAAUGGCUUCAAGUCACUCUGCUUUGGGGUGGUGACUUGGUGGAGGGUGAGACUGAACCUUCUUCUGGUGGUGUUUCAAAACACCACUGCUGGGUUUGCAAGGGAUGGUGGUCAUGCAAAACUAAACCCAGGCAGAACCUUCCUUUUCACUGAAGUGAUGUGAAAACUUUCUGUGUCUCUAGAUUGAAAGGGAAUUGUUCUUUUCACGACCUGUUUCUAGAUAAAAACUGUGGGAGAAUAAUUAUUUGUAAUUUUGUAGAGUUCAGGCUUGCAGUGAGGUGGUGCUGCCAUUGCCUGGAUGAAGAAGAGCCAUGUAAAAUGCAGUGCAUGGACUUGAAUUAGUUAAUUAACUAAUUGGAAAUUCUCUUCCACUUGAGGAUUUGCAAAGUUUUGCUGAGCUCAUUUGCACAAAGGAUGUAGGAUCCACCUGUGGGAAAGACCUGGGUGUGGGAAAGGGGUAAAAUAAACAGAAGAGGGAGGGAUGUGAACAUCAGGGGUGCUCCACUGGUGCUGCCUGUGCUCUGUGGGCAGCAGGAUGAUCAGGGACAUGGCAAUUCUUAAGAGAGAAAUCAGAGUGCAAAAAUUAAAUUAAAGCCUUUAAAUAAAAUGAAGUAUAUUAAGCCACUCACACAUAAAGUAAAAGUGUAAGUUUAAGUUUUAAAAUAAGUAAGUGAGUCAAUAAGUUUUAGUAUGAGCUCUAAUACUUUUAGUAAGUAAAAUGUUUAAAUACCAAAGUAAAAGUGCAAGUUCUAGUGAAAGUUAAAAACACUGAUGUUUUCAGUAAAAGCUCCAAAACCAUAGUUGGAAACAGUACUUAAACAUAAUAGAGCUAUAGUCAAAAUAUUGCUUACAUUUUUCAAAUAAAGUAAGUUGUAUGCAUAGUCUAUACAUAACCUAGCAUGUUAAAAAACUAGAAUUUAAUAAGUUAAAAAGGAGCAGUCAGAGUUUGUUAUGUAUUGAAAAAAAAUUCUAUAUAAAAGUAUGUAUUGACAAAAAAUUAGUACUUUUUGCCAUUGCUUUUUCUGCUUUUCCUACAAUUGCUUUUCUUUUUACUUUUACUCUUCAUCAUCAGUCAACACCCAAAAAAAAAUAGAA